CCUCCCCCAGCCUCGCUGCCGCCUUGCAGUUUGAUCUCAGACUGCUGUGCUAGCAAUCAGCGAGACUCCGUGGGCAUAGGACCCUCCGAGCCAGGUGCGGGACACAAUCUCCUAGUGUGCCGUUUUCCAGGCCCGUUGGAAAAGCGCAGUAUUAGGGUGGGACUGACCCGAUUUUCCAGGUGCCGUCUGUUACCCCUUUCUUUGACUAGGAAAGGGAACUCCCUGACCCCUUGCGCUUCCCAAGUGAGGCAAUGCCUCGCCCUGCUUUGGCUGGCACACAGUGCGCUUCACCGACUAUCCUGCACCCACUGUUUGGCACUCCCUAGUGAGAUGAAACCGGUACCUCAAACAGAAAUGCAGAAAUCACCGGUCUUCUGUGUCGCUCAGGCUGGGAGCUGUAGACCGGAGCUGUUCCUAUUCAGCCAUCUUGACUCCACCCCAACCUAUGCAGUUAAUGUAAAGAAGUGCUUAGUGUAGUAGGGAAGUAACAAGUGGAAGCCAUAGUUACUAGGGGUGGAAUGAUGUUUUCUGGUUGCAGAAAUAUGAACCAGUAGUGAGAAGAAGUAGUAAAAUUCUGUUGUCUGCGUGAUUGCGUAGCCGUGGGUUACUUUUCACUGUUCAGUUAAUGGAUUGGUAGUCAGUGAGUGAAAAGUAGAGGGCCAGGUUCAAGGAAGGCUUCCUAUAGGAGUUGGUGCCUAAGCCUAGUUCAAGUCAGACUUAGCAAGAAGGAAGGAAUAUGGGAAAAGGCCUGUAGGCUGUGGCAGCUGAAUAAUCAAAGGCUUAGAGGCAAGAAACAGUAAUGUAUUUAUUCGUGCAACAAUAUCUCUUUUUUAAAUUUAAAGUUUUUUUUUUUUUUUAGAGUCUUGCUGUCACUCAGUCUGGAGUGCAAUGGCAGAAUCUCUGCUCAGUGCAACCCCUACCUCCCAGGGUCAAACGAUUCUCAGCCUCCUGAGUAGCUGGGACUACAGGUGUGUGCCACCCUGCCCAGCCAAUUUUUUUGUAGACUUGGGGUUUCACCAUGUUGCCGAGGCUGAUCUCGAACUCCUGGGCUCAAGCGAUCCACCUGCCUCAGCCUCCCAAAGUGCUGAGAUUACAGGGGUGAGCCACCAUAGCCCAACCAAAAGAUAAAUUUUUUUAAAAAUUCCAGUCCAUCACAGUCUGAUACUUUAGUAAUGUAUAAUAAAGAAGUGAUUACUAGGUCCGGGUGUGGUGGCUCACACCUAUAAUCCCAGCACUUUGGGAGGCCAGGGCAGGUGGAUCACUUGAGGUCAGGAGUUCGAGACCAGCCUGGCCAGCAUGGCAAAACCCCAUCUCUACUAAAAAUACAGAAAUUAGCUGGGCAUGUGAUGCACACCUGUAAUCCCAGCUACUCGGCUGGGAAUCACUUGAACCCAGGAUGCGGAGAUUGCAGUGAACCAAGAUCACACCACUGCACUCCAGCCUGGGCAAUAGAACGAGAUUCUAUCUUAAAUGAAUGAAUGAAUGAAUGAAUAAAUGAAGUGAAUUACAAAAAAUUUUAAAAUACAAACCAAAUAUUUUGUUAAAUUCAACAGACAUAAUUAUAUGUCAGCUGCAUGCAGUGGCUCAUGCCUGUAAUCCCAACACUUUGGGAGGAAUUACAGGGACCAGGAGUUUGAGACUAGCUUGGCCAACAUAGUGAAACCCCAUCUCUACCAAAAAAUAUAAAAAUUAACCAAGUAUGGUGGCGCAUGCCUAUAUCCUAGCUACUCAGGAGGCUGAGAUGGGAUAGUCGCCUAAACCCAGGAAGUGGAGGUUGAAAUGAGCUGAGAUCAUGCCACUGCACUCCAGCCCAGGCGACAGAGGGAGACACUCUCAAAGAAAAAAAAUUACUGUGUCUAAUUUCUACAAAAGUUUUUUUUUAACUUAUUCUCAAUUUCUGUACUUGUGGAUCAGUAGCAAACUUCAUGGACUGGCAUCAGUAUGAAUGACACUUGAGUAGCACAGUUUGGUGUGCAGCAUACUAGAGUAGUGAGAGAAGGAAACAGCUGUGGACAUUGUAUCAACUGGGAGGCCACCGAACAUUUUGUCAUGUUUGUUGAAUAACUUGUGCAGCCUGAGGCAGCCUGUCAGGGCAGUGGUGUGGCAAAGCCAUAAUAUUUGUAUGGGGCUCAUUCUACUGAGAGGCACAUCUGCCGUUCUGAUAGUGUAGUCUCCCCCAUUUUUCCUCCAGCACUCUGCCCUUUGGGAGGCACUGCAGGGUGGCCAUGACUUUGGUCAGGUGUAGCUUAUGUUUGGCCAUCUCUUGGUUGAUCCAGUUUAUUUGUCUUAGUUUCAGUGAUGGCCAGAGGGUUACAAAGGAUUUGGAGUGGAGCAUCUCAGGGUGGUGUGACCUCUGUUGUUGCCUGGAUUUCCAGAUCAUGUGACAGAGAAUCAGCUGGAUCAUUUCGGCUGUCCAGGUUAUUGGUUAGAAUAAAGUUUUUAAAAACUAAAAUCUUGGGAGCAAGGAGGCCUCUCUGAUGUAAAGAAAGACGAGUAGACUGGUUUAUGCCUUCUAUGCAGUUAGUACAUGAGAGUACCCUGGUCCUCUAAGAGCCAGAGUUCUUUGGGGUUUUUGUUUGUAUUCCCCCAUUAAAAAGCACUAGCAUUUAUUAGGGGAAAAUGAGGUUCUCCUCAACUCGUGUUUUCCCUCUCUGUAUUGUGGAAAAUCUGAACCUCACUCUGAAAGUGAAUACAUCCAUUUGAAAGGGAUGGCAGGUUACCAAGAGUGUCCUUUAGUGAAACCCCUCUUUUUCUUGACCAAAAGAGACCUUGUUUUCUUUGAGAAGCAGGAGUUCACUUUAAUUUUUAUGAACACCUCACACCACUUCCACCUAACCCUACCUACCCUAAUAUGGGCUGGCCUGUCAAGUCUUGGGCAAGAAUAGUGAUAAGAUGCUAUCAGGUCAGAACCCAUAUUGUUAGAGUAGCUGAAAGGUUCUUAUUUUGAACUCUUGCUUGUAGAAUAAUUACAAGAUGUCUCUUAAAUGCAGUUAGAGUGAGAGGAAAGCUGGAGCUGUGGGUGGGGAACUUGUCAGAGGUGGAGCUCAGCAGAAAGUGGGACCAGUGCCUACAGGAUGUGGUAGAUAAGUACUGGUUUUGGAUUAGGGAUUGUUUUCUCACUUACCUUCUUUAAAAAAAGAAUGUAAGGUGGUAUUCGCUGGAACUAAUUGGAAGCUAGAAUUUACACCCUCUAUCUUUCCUGGGUACAGGGAAUAGAGUGUGACCUCUCACUUGUACAUGUUGAAUUAACAACAGAUGUGUUUCUAUGUCUGCCAGUUUUAGGGAGAAGUCUGAAGACUUGUGCAGAGGAGGUGGGAGCAAAGGACUUUGUUGAGGUUUUGGCCAGCCAGAUUAUUGAUAGAACAUAGGUCUUGGAGAACACAGCUAGGGCAGGAUAUUCUGCUUGGGAAAGUUAUGGAAAAAUGCAGAAGAAAUGUUCAAGCCAACGUCUUUAGAGAACCUGGGAAACCAAUUUCAUUCAUAGAUUUCAAGGACUAGGAGCCUGGGAGUCCUGAAAGAGCAUAAGAGAACAAUCACGAAGGGAGGAAGGUCCAAAACCAUUGUAGCAAAUAGUACAAAGAGUCUCUGGUGUCUUUUUCAGCUACUUGAUGCUUAGGUGUAUUGGAUCUGUUUAAAGGUACAGGCCUUGAGCAGAUAUUGAUUUAUGUAGAGAUAGUAGUGACAGAGUCUUAAUGUGGUUAAAAUUUAUGUACAAAGUUAAUUAUAUAGAAAAUGAGACAAAUACUGUACCUGGAACCCCAAUUUGUAUGCUUAGGAAACACGGGAAGGUAUUGUUGGUAAUUAUUCUAAUGCUAGAACUGAAGUGGAAAGAGAAUGUUCUGGACACCAAGCCGUAAAAAAUUGAGCAGGGUAAGUUUGAGUCCAUUAGAGAGCAAAUUGGCUAAUUGGGAGCAAGAGAGGUUACACACAUUGCUAAGUAUGGUGAAACAGCAACAAAGAUAGUAUAGUGAAUAGAAUACUGCAAUCACAAUCAAUAGGAUCAGCCUAGUGCAGUGGCUCAUACCUAUAAUCCCAGUACUUUGGGAGGCUGAGGCGUAGAGAUCACUUGAGCCCAGGAGUUUGAGACCAGCCUGAGCAACAUAGUGAGACCUUGUCUCUACUAAAAAAUUAGCUGGGUGUGGUAGCACAUGCCUUUAGUGCCAGCUACUUGGGAGGCUGAGAAGGGAGGAUCACUUGAGCCUGGGAGGUUGGGGCUGCAGUGAGAGCGAGACCCUGUCUCUAAAAAAGGAAAACAAAGUAAAAAAUUAGUAUAAUUGUUCUCAGGAUGCUGCAGUUUUGUGACCUUUUGCAAGUUGUUGUCCCAGUUCAUGACUCAUACUGCAUAUAAAGAUAGUACCUUUUUUUUUUCUUUUUUUUUGAGACGGAGUUGCUCUGUCGCCCAGGCUGGAGUGCAGUGGCGCAAUCUUGGCUCACUGCAAGCUCCGCCUCCUGGGUUCACGCCAUUUCUCCUGCCUCAGCCUCCCGAGUAGCUGGGACUACAGGCGCCCACCACCAUGCCUGGCUAAUUUUUUUUUGUAUUUUUAGUAGAGAUGGGGUUUCACUGUGUUAGCCAGGAUGGUCUCGAUCUCCUGACCUUGUGAUCUGCACGCCUCGGCCUCCCAAAGUGCUAGGAUUACAGGCUUGAGCCACGGCGCCCGGCCUAAAGAUAGUACUUUUUUGUUUUCUCCUGUGAAUACUGUGAAUGCGGUGCUAUUUAUGGAUAUUCUGGAUUCUGUCAAAAAUAGUAAACAUCUUAUUGGUUUCUAUUUGAUGGUAUUUAACAUGCUAAAAAAAAUGGAGUAUUAGGGCUAAACGGGAUUUACAGGAUAUCUCCUUCAAAUCUCACAUUUUAUUUUUAUUUUUUAAUUUUUUAGACCGAGUCUCACUCUGUUGCCCAGGUUAGAGUGAAGUGACGCGAUCUCGGCUCACUGCAACCUCCGCCUCCCAGGUUCAAGAGAUUCUCAUGCCUCAGCCACCUGAGUAGCUGGGAUUACAGGCGUACACCACCACUCCCAGAUAAUUUUUUUUUUAUUUUUUUAUUUUUAGUAGACAUGGUGUUUCACCAUGUUAGCAGGCUGUUCCCAAACUCCUGGCCUCAAGUGAUCUGCCUACCUCAGCCUCCCAAAGUGCUGGGAUUAAAGGUGUGAGCCACCACUCCUGGCCAAAUCUCACAUUUUAUAGAUGAGGAAAGCGAAAUCCAAAGAGAGAAAAUAACUUACCACUUACAGUCAGUAGAAGGACUAGGACUAGCAUCUAGGACACCUAUCUUUUAGUCAUUUCUUUGCUCCACCAAAAAUCUAAGUAUUAUAGUGAGUAACAUUAGCUUGCAGUUUUUAAUGUUCAUCAAUAAGUCUGAAUCCUUGUCAGUUGCCACGCUGGCUACCCAGAAAAUUUCAGGUAGUUAUAUGCCUCAGGCAGUUAUAUGAAGGUUUGUUUCCUUCUUAUACAUUAAAAAUAGUGUGAAACAUGAUUGAAAAUACACUGUUUUAGUCUCUUGAUUUUGUAUCCACUUUCAACAUUUUAAUAUGAAACCUUGACAGAGACUUUGCUGUAAUUUUGCUCUUGAGGGGCGGGGGGACUCAUCCAACUCACAGUACCCAGCAGUCUGAGUUCUUCAGAUAGGCAUAAAGAAACGAGAAGUUAUAUAAUUUUUGUUGAAUGGGUAUGGUGAUGUUGGCAAAUGAUAAAAGCCUAAGAAAAACUGUGUACCAGUUUAAACCAUGAAUGUACUGUAAAUAGGUUUUGUUGUUGUUUUUAUUUUUACACCACUGAGAGUCAACACUUAAUUCUUGGACAUGUGCAACAUAAUGAUGCACAAAUAGAUAGAGGCAUGAGAACUGAAUCAAAGAAGUCAGGCCCGACGGACAGCCAGAAAAUGGGUGUGAGCUAUCUCUUAAAAAAAGAAAAAAGAAAGAGACUGGGCACGGUGGCUCAAACCUGUAAUCCCAGCACUUUGGGAGGCUGAGGCGGGUGGAUCACCUGAGGUCAGGAGUUCGAGAGCAGCCUGGCCAACAUGGUGAAACCCCGUCUCUACUAAAAAUGCAAAAAAUUAGCUGGGCGUGGUGGCAGGCACCUGUAAUCCCAGCUACUCGGGAGGGCGAGGCAGGAGAAUCGCUUGAACCCAGGAGGCGGAGGCUACGGUGAGCUGAGAUCGUACCACAGCACUGCAGCCUGGGCGACAGAGUGAGCGAGACUCUGUCUCAAAAAAAAAAAAAAAGCUACAAAA